AUGAAUUGCUCCAUUUAAAUUCUCCAUCCAAACAUACUAUUAUAGUGUGUUUGGAUGGGAAAUUUAAAUGGAGUAAUUCAUUU
rnacentral:miRNA from 1 species